CACGUACUCCCUCCGUCCCAUAAUUCUUGUCGUUGUUUUAGUUCAAAUUUGAACUAAAACAACGACAAGAAUUAUGGGACGGAGGGAGUAGUUU
rnacentral:pre_miRNA from 1 species